rnacentral:rRNA from 1 species
GAUGAACGCUGGCGGCGUGCCUAAUACAUGCAAGUCGAGCGAACAGACGAGGAGCUUGCUCCUCUGACGUUAGCGGCGGACGGGUGAGUAACACGUGGAUAACCUACCUAUAAGACUGGGAUAACUUCGGGAAACCGGAGCUAAUACCGGAUAAUAUAUUGAACCGCAUGGUUCAAUAGUGAAAGACGGUUUUGCUGUCACUUAUAGAUGGAUCCGCGCCGCAUUAGCUAGUUGGUAAGGUAACGGCUUACCAAGGCAACGAUGCGUAGCCGACCUGAGAGGGUGAUCGGCCACACUGGAGCUGAGACACGGUCCAGAGUCCUGCGGGAGGCAGCAGUCGGGAAUCUUCCGCAAUGGGCGAAAGCCUGACGGAGCAACGCCGAGUGAAUGAUGAAGGUCUUGGGAUCGUAAUACUCUGUUAUUAGGGAAGGACAAAUUUGUAAGUAACUAUGGACGUCUUGACGGUACCUAAUCAGAAAGCCACGGCUAACUACGUG